rnacentral:rRNA from 1 species
UGCAGAAUCCCGUGAACCAUCGAGUCUUUGAACGCAAGUUGCGCCCGAAGCCAUUAGGCUGAGGGCACGUCUGCCUGGGUGUCACAC